CACGUAGGGCGCAAGCGUUGUCCGGAAUUAUUGGGCGUAAAGAGCUCGUAGGCGGUCCGUCACGUCCGCUGUGAAAACCCAGGGCUCAACCCUGGGCUUGCAGUGGAUACGGGCAGACUAGAGGUAGGUAGGGGAGAAUAGAAUUCCCGGUGUAGCGGUGAAAUGCGCAGAUAUCGGGAGGAACACCGGUGGCGAAGGCGGCAUCCUGGACCAACACUGACGCUGAGGAGCGAAAGCGUGGGGAGCGAACAGG
rnacentral:rRNA from 1 species